rnacentral:rRNA from 1 species
GUUAUUGUUUAUUUGAUACAACAAAUGGAUAACUGUAGAAAAACUAGAGCUAAUACAUGCUUUAACCGCAAGGUUGUAUUUAUUAGAUAUUCCAGAUUGGUGAAUCAUAAUAACUUCGCAAAUCUCGUUUAUGACGAGAUAAAUCAUCCAAGUUUCUGCCCUAUCAUGCUUUCGAUGGUAGUGUAUUGGACUACCAUGGCUCUCACGGGUAACAGGGAAUUAGGGUUCGAUUCUGGAGAAGGAGCCUGAGAAACGGCUACUACAUCUACGGAAGGCAGCAGGCGCGUAAAUUACCCAAUCCUGACUCAGGGAGGUGGUGACAAGAUAUAACAACGCGAUUUAUAUCGCGAUUGUAGUGAGGGUAUUCUAAAUAGAACCUAUAGUACGAUUAGAGGGCAAGUCUGGUGCCAGCAGCCGCGGUAAUUCCAGCUCUAAUAGCGUAUAUUAAUGUUGCUGCAGUUAAAAAGCUCGUAGUUGGAUUUCAAGGACUGUAAACCCUUCGGGGAAUACAACCUACUAGUCUUAGACUGUUACUGUGAGUAAAUUAGAGUGUUUCAAGCAGGCUUUUGCAAGAAUAUAUUAGCAUGGAAUAACGAAUGUAUUUAGAAUCUUGGUUAAUUCUAAAUUACGAUUAAUAGAGACAGUUGGGGGCAUUAGUAUUUAAUUGUCAGAGGUGAAAUUCUUGGAUUUGUUAAAGACUAACGUAUGCGAAAGCAUUUGCCAAGGAUGUUUUCAUUAAUCAA